AAAGAAUAAAAUGAAAACUCAAGAACCAAAAACUAUGAAUUCAGUCAAUGCUCACUACUAAUCAUUUGUUUCUGUGUUCCAAUCAUCUUUAGUUGGGCUAUAGUUUGUUAUGUAUGAAUUUUUCAAAAAGACUUUAAGGAACAUCUCCUUGAGGAAUAUGUGUUCUUGCAUUCUGGCAUUUUUAAAACAGUUGAUCUUUUUUCUUUACACACAAGUUACAGUUUGGCAAUCUAUAAAAUGUUUGGGUCAUAUUUUCUUUCUUUGAGAAUUUGAUAGUUAUUAUUACAUUAUUUUCUGAGAUGCAAUUUUGUUGCCAAUAAGUCUGAGAUUAGCCUGAUUUUAUUUUCCUUUAUAAGUUAGCUGAUCUUUUUUGCCUAGAUAUCCAGAAGAUUCUUUAUUUUCGAAGUCCAAUAAAUUUAAUAUUCUUCGGGUUAAUCAUUUUUAAUCAACUUCUUAUGACUCAUGAUGUGACUUUU
rnacentral:lncRNA from 1 species